UACGUAGGGUCCGAGCGUUGUCCGGAAUUAUUGGGCGUAAAGGGCUCGUAGGCGGUUUGUCACGUCGGGCGUGAAAACUCAGGGCUCAACCCUGAGCGUGCGUUCGAUACGGGCAGACUAGAGGUAUGCAGGGGAGACUGGAAUUCCUGGUGUAGCGGUGAAAUGCGCAGAUAUCAGGAGGAACACCGGUGGCGAAGGCGUGUCUCUGGGCAACAACUGACGCUGAGGAGCGAAAGCUAGGGGAGCAAACGGG
rnacentral:rRNA from 1 species